rnacentral:rRNA from 1 species
GACGAACGCUGGCGGCGUGCUUAACACAUGCGAGUCGAACGGUAAGGCCCUUCGGGGUACACGAGUGGCGAACGGGUAAGUAACACGUGGGUGAUCUGCCCUGCACUUCGGGAUAAGCCUGGGAAACUGGGUCUAAUGCCGGAUAGGACCCUGGGAUGCAUGUCCUGGGGUGGAAAGCUUUUGCGGUGUGGGAUGGGCCCGCGGCCUAUCAGCUUGUUGGUGGGGUGAUGGCCUACCAAGGCGACGACGGGUAGCCGGCCUGAGAGGGUGACCGGCCACACUGGGACUGAGAUACGGCCCAGACUCCUACGGGAGGCAGCAGUGGGGAAUAUUGCACAAUGGGCGCAAGCCUGAUGCAGCGACGCCGCGUGAGGGAUGACGGCCUUCGGGUUGUAAACCUCUUUCAGCACCGACGAAGCGCAAGUGACGGUAGGUGCAGAAGAAGGACCGGCCAACUACGUGCCAGCCGCCGCAGUAA